rnacentral:rRNA from 1 species
CCCUUAGAUGUUCUGGGCCGCACACGCGCUACACUGAAGGAGGCAGCGUGUACUCCUGGAUCGAAAGAUUUGGGUAACCCGCGAAUCUCCUUCGUGCUAGGGAUUGAGGUUUGCAAUUAUCCUUCAUGAACGAGGAAUUCCCAGUAAGUGCAAGUCAUAAGCUUGCGCUGACUACGUCCCUGCCCUUUGUACACACCGCCCGUCGCUACUACCGAUUGAAUGAUUUAGUGAGGACUUCGGACUGGGACCGAUGCGGCUUUCGGGCUGCAUCGGUAUUCUGGAAAGAUGUCCAAACUGUAUCAUUUAGAGGAAGUAAAAGUCGUAACA